rnacentral:rRNA from 1 species
UACGUAGGGUGCAAGCGUUGUCCGGAAUUAUUGGGAGUAAAGAGUUCGUAGGCGGUAUGUAGAGUAUGAUGUGAAAAUCCAGGGCUCAACCCUGGACCUGCAGUGGGUACGGGCAGACUAGAGUGCGGUAGGGGAGAUCGGAAUUCCUGGUGUAGCGGUGAAAUGCGCAGAUAUCAGGAGGAACACCGGUGGCGAAGGCGGAUCUCUGGGCCGUAACUGACGCUGAGGAGCGAAAGCAUGGGGAGCGAACGGG